GGAGUAUAUGAUUAUGAAAAUACAGGAAGAAUGACUCAAAAAUGGAUACAAUCAGGCCAUAUUGCCACAUAUUACACAAUCCAGGAUGAAGCCUAUGACACCACUGAUAGUCUAUUAGAAGAAAACAAAAUAUAUGAAAGAUCAAGGUCAUCUGAUGGCAAAUCAUCAUCUCAAGUGAACAGGUCAAGACAUGAAAAUACAAGCCAGGUACCAUUGCAGGAGUCCAGGACAAGAAAGCGUAGGGGAUCCAGAGUUAGCCAGGACAGGGACAGUGAGGGACACUCAGAAGACUCUGAGAGGCACUCUGGGUCGGCUUCCAGAAACCAUCAUGGAUCUGCGUGGGAGCAGUCAAGAGAUGGCUCCAGACACCCCAGGUCCCAUGAUGAAGACAGAGCCAGUCAUGGGCACUCUGCAGACAGCUCCAGACAAUCAGGCACUCGUCACGCAGAGACUUCCUCUCGUGGACAGACUGCAUCAUCCCAUGAACAGGCAAGAUCAAGUCCAGGAGAAAGACAUGGAUCCGGCCACCAGCAGUCAGCAGA
rnacentral:lncRNA from 1 species